UGGAGCUCACAGUUCCUCUGCACUGCCCAUAUGACAGCUCUGUUUCUCUGGGUGUUGUUGGCUGCUCUGUGCCUUGAAUGCAGAGGCCAAAAAGACAACGUGAUGCAACCACAAGGAGAUGUGACGGCUGCUGAAGGAGAGGCAGUAACUCUGGGCUGUCGAUACAACAGCAGUUCUCCCACUAAUUAUCUGUACUGGUACAAACAGGAAGGAAACAGUCGACCCACAUUCAUCCUGAACCGACUCACACUGGACCAAGGAACCACAGCAGAGACGUUCAAGGAAAGAUUCACAUCCACACUGGAUCAAACAUCAAGAUCAGCUCCUCUGAAGAUCCAGAAGCUUCAUGUGUCAGACUCUGCUGUGUACUACUGUGCUCUGCAGCCCACAGUGACAGGAAACAGCUAAACUCUGAACAAAAACCUCUGGAGCAAAGACAACACAGU